AUAUAUAUAUAUAUACUAAAAUUGGAACGAUACAGAGAUUAGCAUACAUGACACGCUAAAAUUAUGAAACGAUUUACAUUUUU